AGUGCAUUGUCACAGAGUUGUACAGAAACAGAGUAGAAUGUUCCAGAAUGGAAUCUUCUGAGAGUUCCUUGCCAAACACCUGGUUUUCAUCCCUUCUUAUUCAUUUCUGACUUAUUCUUUCCUUCACUCAGCUUUCUAAUCAUACAGAAAUCCUCUCGGGAAAUUAGAAAACUGUCAUGAUUUACCUAGCAAACUGAUGCAACACAAAGAAGAAACCCAGGUGACAGAAGACAGAAGUAGUUCUGCAGUUUAGCAGUGGAGAACAGCGUGAAGAAUGUACUUGUCUGUUACCCCUACAGCAUGCACAAGUCAUCUUAAUAUAUGUUUGUCAAGAUUAAAUGAUGUAAUGCACACAAUAUCAUCAUCAUCAUCAUCAUCAUCAUCAUCAUCAUCAUCAUCAUCAUCAUCAUCAUC